UACGAAGGGGGCUAGCGUUGCUCGGAAUUACUGGGCGUAAAGGGAGCGUAGGCGGACAGCUAAGUCAGAGGUGAAAGCCCAGGGCUCAACCUUGGAAUUGCCUUUGAUACUGGCUGUCUUGAGUAUGGGAGAGGUGUGUGGAACUCCGAGUGUAGAGGUGAAAUUCGUAGAUAUUCGGAAGAACACCAGUGGCGAAGGCGACACACUGGCCCAUUACUGACGCUGAGGCUCGAAAGCGUGGGGAGCAAACAGGAUUAGAAACCCCCGUAGUCC
rnacentral:rRNA from 1 species